rnacentral:rRNA from 1 species
GGCUAACUACGUGCCAGCAGCCGCGGUAAUACGUAGGGCGCAAGCGUUGUCCUGGAAUUAUUGGGCGUAAAGAGCUCGUAGGCGGUUUGUCGCGUCUGCUGUGAAAGCCCGGGGCUUAACCCCGGGUGUGCAGUGGGUACGGGCAGACUAGAGUGCAGUAGGGGAGACUGGAAUUCCUGGUGUAGCGGUGGAAUGCGCAGAUAUCAGGAGGAACACCGAUGGCGAAGGCAGGUCUCUGGGCUGUUACUGACGCUGAGGAGCGAAAGCAUGGGGAGCGAACAGGAUUAGAUACCCUGGUAGUCCAUGCCGUAAACGUUGGGCACUAGGUGUGGGGGACAUUCCACGUUUUCCGCGCCGUAGCUAACGCAUUAAGUGCCCCGCCUGGGGAGUACGGCCGCAAGGCUAAAACUCAAAGGAAUUGACGGGGGCCCGCACAAGCGGCGGAGCAUGCGGAUUAAUUCGAUGCAACGCGAAGAACCUUACCAAGGCUUGACAUAUACCGGAUCGUUCCAGAGAUGGUUCUUCCCCUUUGGGGUCGGUAUACAGGUGGUGCAUGGUUGUCGUCAGCUCGUGUCGUGAGAUGUUGGGUUAAGUCCCGCAACGAGCGCAACCCUCGUUCCAUGUUGCCAGCACGUGAUGGUGGGGACUCAUGGGAGACUGCCGGGGUCAACUCGGAGGAAGGUGGGGAUGACGUCAAAUCAUCAUGCCCCUUAUGUCUUGGGCUUCACGCAUGCUACAAUGGCCGGUACAAAGGGUUGCGAUACUGUGAGGUGGAGCUAAUCCCAAAAAGCCGGUCUCAGUUCGGAUUGAGGUCUGCAA